rnacentral:rRNA from 1 species
GAUGAACGCUAGCGGCAGGCCUAACACAUGCAAGUCGAGGGAUAAGCCCUCGGGCUGAAACCGGCGCACGGGUGCGUCACGGGUACACAAUCUGCCUUUCACAUAGGGAUAGCCCGGAGAAAUUUGGAUUAAUACCUAAUGGUAUAUACGAGUGGCAUCAUUUUUAUAUUAAAGCUUUGGUGGUGAAAGUUGAGUAUGCGUUAUAUUAGCUAGUUGGAGAGGUAACGGCUCCCCAAGGCGACGAUAGAUAGGCGUACUGAGAGGGACGUCCCCCACACUGGUACAGGGCUACAGACCAGAGUCCUACGGCACGCAGCAGUCAAGUACAGUAGACAAUGGUCGGGAGUCUUAUCCAGCCAGGCCGCGUGCAGUACAACAGUCCUAUGGAUUGUAAGCUGCGAUUAGAGUUGAAGAGUAAGGUGUACGUGUACUUUGAUGACGGUACCGCACGAAUAAGCACCGGCUAACUCCGUG